rnacentral:rRNA from 1 species
CCCUUAGAUGUCCUGGGCCGCACGCGCGCUACACUGAUGCAUUCAACGAGUUUUACCUCGGCCGAGAGGCCUGGGCAAUCUUUUAAACCUGCAUCGUGAUAGGGAUAGAUUAUUGCAAUUAUUAAUCUUGAACGAGGAAUUCCUAGUAAACGCAGAUCAUCAAUCUGCAUUGAUUACGUCCCUGCCCUUUGUACACACCGCCCGUCGCACCUACCGAUUGAAUGGUCCGGUGAAGCCUCGGGAUUGUGGCCAGUUCACUUUAUUGGGAGUUGGCUGCGAGAACUUGUCUAAACCUUAUCAUUUAGAGGAAGGUGAAGUCGUAACA